rnacentral:misc_RNA from 1 species
GCCACGCCGCGCUGCUUGCCGUGCUUUAUUUUUUUCGUUUUUUGGUUGUCGCGUGAAAGCAAGAGGACGAAGCGCAAGACGCCACCGGCCGCCCCUUCCUGAAAAAAAGCCGGCAGCGUCAAAACUGCGCGCUCAGGACACCCACGAGAACACCGGCGAACUCCCAGCACGAUCUCGGCGGUCGACACCACUGCCGCAUGGACAAGGCUAGCGCCACGGAAGUGUACCAGCCGAGUGCCGCCCAGACAGCAGCGAGAAGCGACGACACAGCCCCAGCCGCAGCUAGCGCCAAGCCUCCCACGACAGCGGCUGACCAAGCACAAGGUCAUCAUGACGUCCUCCAAAAGACAGCGGACGUCGCCACCGCCCAAGACGCCACUCGUGGAGCAACUCAGGAACCAGCGAAGCCUUCAUCACCACAGGAGGUGGUUGGUGAUUCCGCAAGGACUGCACCGGAACCAUCAGUGAUUGCCGCCGGAGGGGGCGAGAAGCCAGUGUCUCCGGCGAAGAGCCCUUCGUCUGACGAGAAGAAAUCAUCCGGUGACGUCCCCAGUACAUAUCUUGAGCGAAAAAGAGUCUCUACCGAAGUGCCAGUAAAGACGCCUGUGAUGGAGGACAAAGCGGAACGAGUGGGACCAGAAAUGGAAUCGCAUGAGGUGUCUCAGCUGGCCCCAGUGGCCGAUCGAGACGGUGCAGUGCCUUCGCAAGAGAAGCAGCAAAAGCAACCCCAAAGUGAUAGUAGCGUAUCUAAGGAACCUGACAAGGACGUUGAAGCAGUGAAAGACAGUGAUGCGAAAGACAAGGCGGCAGAAGCCGUCCAAAAAUAUCACGAAACAUUGGAAGAGAAGACCGGUGCCAAAAGUGCAGACGUCACCGUGGCGGCCGGUGCGGCUCACGAAGAAACCCCAACGGCGCAAGCCAGUAGCGCAGCUCCGGAUGCAGCCCCAAGCGAACAAGCAAAAGCCACCUUGAGCGCUGCAGAGGUGGCCGAAGGCAAGACGGAGUACGCAAAGCCAUUUCUUACGGCGGCCGGAUUGUCCCCCGAGACGUGUAAAUCUGUCGCGGACGCCGGCACUAAGCCUCCGCAGGAACAUGUGAGUCCCAGUGGAGACGGCGAGAGUUUACGACCCGCUGAAGAUGCUAAACAGCUGGUUCCGGACGACACUAGGCCCAAAUCUUCCAUUCCGCCACCACCAGUAUACGAGGCACCACCAAGGACUAGCUCGGGAAAGGAUAAUGCAAAAGAGCGACAGGAAACUGAGGAGGUCGAACGGCAAAAGGCCCAAACACCGGAAUCCCCAGUGGAUAGACUAAAAGAAAAUAGUCCUUUAGUGGCAACGGGGCUGCAAGAAGUGGACGAAUCAAUUAUGCCAAUGACGGCGUGCCAUACUGGCAUGAUGGAGAUGACGUACCCGGAUGCAAUACGGAAAGAAUCGGCGCCUAGAGAAGCAUACUCCAGCGGCGCCAGUGCAUUAAACGAUCUAUUAGACGAGGAAGCAAUCAGAGCGCAGUUAUACCCUUCCGAUCUGAAUGAAACGAAAGCAGAGGAAGCCAGCAAACCGCAUUCCGCAGCAAAUAAGGCCGAGAAGAGUUUGGGCGACAGUCAUCUGAAGUCCACCGUGUCAGGUGCAGAACCAGACGCCAAAACAGACGCAAAUCCCAAAAAAGAGCACGAUGAAUCUCGAGUUGCUGGUGGUGCUGAUGAGAAAGUAGGUGAGCAGCGAAAAUCAUCAGUGGUGGAAGCUUCCCAGGAAGAAACGGUUAUAGCUAGCAAAGAGGUCACUAAAGAAGAGAAGCCUGAGAAAAACGAGACAGAAGUGUUUCCCUCACCUGCUACUACGCAACAAACGGAAGCACCUCAAAAAGAAGAGAAAGCAGCCGGCAAAGUCGAAAACGUCGAUGACACGACGUCAGGUAAAAAGCCUGAAGCUGCUAUUCAGGAAAGCAAGGUCACCGAAACGGCUCCGCCAAAGGAUAGUGUCGAACGAAAGGAGGAGAAGGCGAUAGAUGCCGACAUUGAAGAGGAGCAGAAGGAAAAAAAUGCAGAAAAAGUCGAGAACGUUGCCAUGGACGAUGACUCUAAAGAGGUAGGUGCCUCAGAUGCUGCAGAGAAGUCCAGCGAGCCUGGUUCGGCGAAGGAAGAAACCACGCAAGUUCAUGAUGUCGCCGCAGAGAGUGACAAGCCGUUGAAGGAAGCCGAACGCGCUAACGAAGACGAUGCAGAAAAAGACACGUACAAACCUGCGGAUUCUCUGGAACCGGGCGUCAGUGGGCAGUUACAAGCACAGGAAACCGGAGACACCUUGUCGAAAGAAAAAGUAGUGACUGAAAACGUACCAAAGGAGGUAGCGAGGGAGCCAGAUGAGCUCGAAGUUCGAGAGCUUCCUCCAGAAGAAAUAGAAAAGAAAGACGAGGGUACUGCAAAAGAACAAGCUGCAGAGCCAAAAGUUGCAGAAGCUGUGUCAAAGCCAGAGGACAAAGGAAAAGAAACUAAGUUGGUGGAAGAAACAGUAGAGGGGCAAGUAGAAAAGGCAGUGUCAGAUGCUCCAGAAGAUGCUACUCCGGAAGAAGCUCCUGUCACUGCUCAAUCCAAAGAAGGCGUUCCAGAAGUGACCAAAGACAAAGCGGAAGUUUCUGAGGAAGCAGUAGUGAAGACAGACAAUGUUUCCUAUACUACAGCAGUCAAGGAAGAAGCAGCCCAACCCGAGUCUACAGAUGAGAGCGAAAAAGAAAAGACAGAAAAGGAAGCACCUGAAUCUGGCGACAAGGAGGCAAAAGAAGCAACAACAAAGAGUGAAGUUGAUGAAAAAGAAGGUGAGGAGCCAAGCAGUGUCAUGCCAGAGGAUAUUGAGGAAGUGACGGAACAGCAACCAAAGAGUGAAGGUGGUGAAGAAGCAGUCCCUGCCACUGAAGCUGCACCCGAAGCUACCAACGAAGAGAAGAAAGAUUCUGAACCUGCCGAAGAAAGUGAAAAGCCAGCGGUAGAAGCAGCGUCCGAGGCAAAGAGCGAAGAAACCAAUGACGGGGCAGCUCCUUCCGAACUCGAGUCAGCGCCGCCUGCAGAAGCAGUGAAAAAGAAGACCGGCUUGCCCAAAUCCCCGUCCAAGCGUGCGACGGGCAAAGGUCCACCGAAGACUCUCGACAAAAAGAGACUUCAGCAGCUGCGGAUGCAAAGGCCAAGACGCCCAGCUCUCCCAAGAAGCCCAGCAGCAUUCAGGAAAAGGGCGGGCCAUCGCCCAAGAAGGCUGCGCCGACCAAGAAUGGUGUCACCUCGCCAUCCAAGACGGCAAGGACACCGGGCUCCGAGCAGAAAAAACUGCCUCCGAUCAAGGCUCCUGUGGGACAAGCACCCAAGCCCGACCUGAAGAACGUGCGCUCCAAGAUCGGCUCGCUGGAAAACAUCAAGCACAAGCCUAAAGGCGGGGAAGUCAGGGUGACGACGCAGAAGCUGGAAUGGCGAGCCGCGUCCAAAGUGGGCUCUCUGGACAACGCGGCUCACAAGCCGGGAGGCGGAGACAAGAAGAUCCUCUCGCAAAAGCUCGAGUUCAAGGCGCAGUCGAAGGUCGGGUCGCUGGACAACGUCGACCACAAGCCGGCCGGUGGCCAAGUGAAGGUGGAGACUCAAAAACUGGACUUCAAGGACAAGGCGUCGUCCAAGGUUGGCUCCUUGGACAACGUCAAGCACAAAGCGGGCGGCGGCAAUGUAAAGAUCUUGUCGGAGAAGCUCGAGUUCAAGGAAAGGGCAGCUUCGAAGAUUGGCUCCUUACCAGCCUCGGAUGCGGGAAGCACAAGAGGCUCGGAAUCGCUAAGUCCCACAAACCUGACCAGUCCUCACCCGGCGCAGUCGCAGCAAAGCCAGGAGGACGACGUUGCUGCCAAUGGCCAUGAGUCGGACAUCUCUCCCACCAAGGAGGAAGUGG